rnacentral:rRNA from 1 species
UCCUACGGGGCGCAGCAGUGAGGAAUAUUGGUCAAUGGUCGGGAGACUGAACCAGCCAAGCCGCGUGAGGGAUGAAGGUACAGAGUAUCGUAAACCUCUUUUGUCAGGGAACAAAGGCGGGGACGCGUCCCCGGAUGAGUGUACCUGAAGAAAAAGCAUCGGCUAACUCCGUGCCAGCAGCCGCGGUAAUACGGAGGAUGCGAGCGUUAUCCGGAUUUAUUGGGUUUAAAGGGUGCGCAGGCGGGCUGUUAAUGCAGCGGUCAAAGCCCCGGGCUCAAACCCGGCCCGCCGUUGAAACUGGCAGG